GAUGAACGCUGGCGGCGUGCCUAAUACAUGCAAGUCGAGCGAACAGACGAGGAGCUUGCUCCUCUGACGUUAGCGGCGGACGGGGGAGUAACACGUGGAUAACCUACCUAUAAGACUGGGAUAACUUCGGGAAACCGGAGCUAAUACCGGAUAAUAUAUUGAACCGCAUGGUUCAAUAGUGAAAGACGGUUUUGCUGUCACUUAUAGAUGGAUCCGCGCCGCAUUAGCUAGUUGGUAAGGUAACGGCUUACCAAGGCGACGAUGCGUAGCCGACCUGAGAGGGUGAUCGGCCACACUGGAACUGAGACACGGUCCAGACUCCUACGGGAGGCAGCAGUAGGGAAUCUUCCGCAAUGGGCGAAAGCUUGACGGAGCAACGCCGCGUGAGUGAUGAAGAUCUUCGGAUCGUAAAACUCUGUUAUUAGGGAAGAACAAAUGUGUAAGUAACUAUGCACGUCUUGACGGUACCUAAUCAGAAAGCCACGGCUAACUACGUG
rnacentral:rRNA from 1 species